UUAGUAAUCUGCUCAUCAUCUUCCAGCAGCAAGUGCUCCGUAGCAAACCGCUCCCUCUCAUGCAUUCUCCUGAGAAUUUUUUGUUACUGAGCACAAGCUUAGGUGCGUAUAAUUAGCAGAUAUUAUAUAUAUAUUCAACCCCAAAAACAAGCGAGAAAAGAAAAAGGAGGCAGGGAAGAUCGAUUCAUCAGUUGGUUGGCUUUUUCUAGCGAAGAAAUUCAUCUUCUUCAGAGCCAGUAGUGAUGCAAUCUUUGUCAUCUUCAAAACCUUCAAGAGA
rnacentral:misc_RNA from 1 species